rnacentral:rRNA from 1 species
AUUGAACGCUGGCGGCAGGCCUAACACAUGCAAGUCGAGCGGAUGACGGGAGCUUGCUCCUUGAUUCAGCGGCGGACGGGUGAGUAAUGCCUAGGAAUCUGCCUGGUAGUGGGGGACAACGUUUCGAAAGGAACGCUAAUACCGCAUACGUCCUACGGGAGAAAGCAGGGGACCUUCGGGCCUUGCGCUAUCAGAUGAGCCUAGGUCGGAUUAGCUAGUUGGUGAGGUAAUGGCUCACCAAGGCGACGAUCCGUAACUGGUCUGAGAGGAUGAGCAGACACACUGGAACUGAGACGCGGUCCAGACGCCUACGGGAGGAGGCAGUGGGGAAUAUUGGACAAUGGGCGAAAGCCUGGUCCAGCCAUGCCGCGUGUGUGAAGAAGGUCUUCGGAUUGUAAAGCACUUUAAGUUGGGAGGAAGGGCAGUAAGUUAAUACCUUGCUGUUUUGACGUUACCGACAGAAUAAGCACCGGCUAACUCUGUGCCAGCAGCCGCAGUAAGAC